GUGGUAGCCAAUUGUCUACUCAACUUUUUGAAAUUUGUCAAGCCCUGUUAUUGAAAAACCCUUCCUAUAGUUAUAGAAAACCAGGUAAUCACAUUUUACAGGAACACUAACUCAAGUAUAAGAUUAAUAUUCAAAAACAGUAUUCAAUAUCUGUAAAAAUAUACAAGAUUAGUAUGAGAAAUGUUUUCGGUCCUAUGAUAGACCAACUUCAGUUCUUACUACUUCGAUUCAUUUAACCAUCAUCAGGAUCGAAAACUUUUCUCAUAUUAAAAUGGUUUAUGUUUAUUCUGCUACCGAUGAUGAUAUUGAGUAUUAAUUAUAUGAUCUACGGAAGCAGUGGAUAAACUGAUGUUAAAAGAUGCAAUAUUGUCUGAGAACACUUUGUUAAACUAUAUUCUAAUAGAAUAAUUAGUAGGUGCACUGCAUGGAAAUGAUUCGACUUUCCAGUUAAAAGAUUCGAGAAUGAAUCAAGAUCUCACUCUUUAUGCGAGGAUCGAGUCCAACUUGUCUUUCUUCUUCCUCUACAAUUUGGCUGACCUCCAUUGGUACAUUCAACAUGUGAUAGGGACUGAAAUGGCACCAUUAUUAGCGAAUGAUCAAAAACGGACAUUAAAAAGUAAUCAAGGAUAUAAAAAAGACACCUUAGAAUUUACAUACAUUAUUAGAAAAAAGUAGUGUUUCUUUCCUGUAAAUCUUAAUAUAUAACUGCUAUUUUAACGUUUGGCAAUUAAAAUUUAUACUUAAAUCAUAUUUAUUCAUUCAUUUCAAUAUUGGAUAAUAUAUUAAUGAUAACAUAGAUGAUAAAAUUUAUCAAAUAGUAUCAAUUCUAGUACC
rnacentral:lncRNA from 1 species